rnacentral:RNase_P_RNA from 1 species
GGAGUCGGGCAGGUUGUCGUCCGGGAUGCGCUUUGCCUCGGCAAAAUGCUUCCCGGGAGGAAAGUCCGGGCUCCACAGGGCGGGACGCUGGAUAACGUCCAGCGGGGGCGACCCCGGGAAAGUGCCACAGAAAACAGACCGCCCAGCGUUUACUUUUUCCUUGGUAAGCUUCUCAUCCUUAAUAAAGAAGAACCAGGACAAAGUGAGCGCUGGGUAAGGGUGAAACGGUGGGGUAAGAGCCCACCAGUUGCCGCGGCGACGCGGCAAGCUCGGCAAACCCCGUUCGGAGCAAGACCAAAUAGGAGGACGUUUGAGGCCGGCCCGGUCGAAGUCCUCGGGUAGGUUGCUGGAGGCCGGAAGCAAUUCCGGUCCUAGAGGAAUGACAACCGCCCCGCGCUUGCUUUACCUUGGCAAUCUUCUCAUUGCUUGAGGGAUGGCCAGGGCAAAGUGAGCGCGGGGAGACAGGACCCGGCUUAUCGCCCGACUCCCGCG